rnacentral:rRNA from 1 species
UACGGAGGGAGCUAGCGUUGUUCGGAAUUACUGGGCGUAAAGCGCACGUAGGCGGACUAUUAAGUCAGGGGUGAAAUCCCGGGGCUCAACCCCGGAACUGCCUUUGAUACUGGUAGUCUCGAGUCCGGAAGAGGUGAGUGGAAUUCCGAGUGUAGAGGUGAAAUUCGUAGAUAUUCGGAGGAACACAGUGGCGAAGGCGGGUCUCUGGGCCGAUACUGACGCUGAGGAGCGAAAGCGUGGGGAGCGAACAGG